GCAUGGCCGAAUUCUGUUCCAGCUGUUCCGUGGUGGAUACAGUCAGACACCAUGCAAAAGCCUUGACUCAUAUCUGCUUCGUCACUGUAUGAGUGCUUCCCUCAGCCUCAUGCAACUGUACAGGAAUGAGCACAACG